UACUCAGCCCUGCUGAAGAACGAGCUGCUGGGAGCCGGCAUCGAGAAGGUGCAGGACCCGCAGACCGAGGACCGGAGGCUGCAGCCCUCCACGCCAGAAAAGAAGGGCCUCUUCACGUAUUCCCUCAGCACCAAGCGCUCGAGCCCCGAUGAUGGCAACGACGUGUCUCCGUACUCCUUGUCCCCUGUCAGCAACAAAAGUCAGAAGUUACUACGGUCCCCACGGAAACCCACCCGCAAGAUCUCGAAAAUCCCCUUCAAGGUCCUGGACGCACCUGAGCUGCAGGAUGACUUCUACCUGAACCUGGUGGACUGGUCGUCCCUCAACGUGCUCAGUGUGGGGCUGGGGACCUGUGUGUACCUG